rnacentral:misc_RNA from 1 species
CAGCCCGGAAUUCCAGCUCCAAUAGCGUAUAUUAAAGUUGUUGCAGUUAAAAAGCUCGUAGUUGAAUUUCGGGAUUGGCGCAUCGGUCGUGCCUCACGGGGUAUGAACUGGUGCAGUCAAUUUCUCACCUUCUGGAGAACCGCGAUGUCCUUAAUUGGAUGCCGCGGGGAACCAGGACCUUUACUUUGAAAAAAUUAGAGUGUUUAAAGCAGGCAUUUUUGCUUGAAUACAUUAGCAUGGAAUAAUAAAAUAGGACGGCAUGGUUCUAUUUUGUUGGUUUCUAGGACCACCGUAAUGAUUAAUAGGGAUAGUUGGGGGCAUUAGUAUUCAAUUGUCAGAGGUGAAAUUCUUGGAUUUAUUGAAGACUAACUACUGCGAAAGCAUUUGCCAAGGAUGUUUUCAUUAAUCAAGAACGAAAGUUAGGGGAUCGAAGACGAUCAGAUACCGUCGUAGUCUUAACCAUAAACUAUGCCGACUAGGAAUCAGACGAUGUUAAUUUUUUAAUGACUCGUUUGGCACCUUACG